GGAGUUAAAUACAGUACUACAACGGUUGUUUUACCUCGUAUUUAAUCUAAUUAUGUAAAAGUUAUUAAGAUGCAUAAUGCAAGGUCUAAAUAUGCCUAUUGCUUGAGAUUUUCAGUUGAAUAUAUUAAUGAAGAUUGAGACCCUAAGAGAAAUGGCACAAACCAACCAGAUGUUUGAAAACUUUACGCAUCGAAGGUGCCAGACCAUGAUUUUGAGGGGUUGGAGAAGCUGUGUGAAAGUAUUAAGGAACUCCAAGAAUUGUGUAAAAAGGAAGAGGAGGAGGAUACCUUCAAAAAAAAUUUAAAAAAUAUUGUGAGUGUAGCAGGAGGAUCGCAUGAUCGACUCCAGGUCGGGGUUGAGACAAGUUAACAACAACAGUUUAUUACGGGACAAUAUAUAUACUUUACAGAACAACAAAAAACACUGAAAAGAUAAAUGAUUAUUUACACAAGUGAAUUAUUAAAUGAUGUAUAUAUUCUAUUAAUUACUAAUAGAUCAGGAGGCAAGUUAUAAUAUAAGUACUAUAUUAUAUGUAUUAAAAUAUCUAUUUACAUUUAAUCUGUUAUGACAAAGAUAUAAAUAUAGAUAUCAAACUAACAUACCCUAAGACAGGUGUUUUCCAGGAAAAUAAAUGUGACCAUAGAGUUGUAAACUUUAUAGACAACACAAUAAAACAAUUAACAAGACAUUACACAGGGGAUACUAUAUUUAAUCAAUGUUUACUUAUGAAAUAUAAAGUUACCUAGUUUCUAUAUAUACUAUUCAAAAAAAGUAGGGGAUAUUUGAUUUUUAAGUGUUAUUAAAGUCACCUAAUGAAACUGGCGAAGAAACAAAUGACAAAAUGAAAUGAAGUUCACAUUCAUCGAUUUAUUCCAAAUGAUCGUUAGACUAAGUAAGGCACAGACUGACCAUUAUAAGGGUAAAAUGAUACCCGGGGUCAAACAGCAAAGUUACCAUAGCAUCACAACCAAGUCAGUAACGGGUAAAUCCUCCUCUGUUUGCCAAACAAGCAUUGAUCCGACGUGGCAUACUCCUAAUGAGACGUCUAAGGUCAUUUUGGUCCAGAUUGUCCCAUUCCUGUUGCAACGCAGCAGCAAGUUCUUGGACAUUGGCAGGACGUUGUUGACGUUGACGUAACCUCUGUCCAAGCAUGUCCCAGACAUGCUCGAUGGGGGAGAGGUCGGGACUCAGUGCUGGCCAAGGUAAUGUGGUGAUGUUCUGUUGUUGGAGGUAACCUGUAACGAUCCUGGCCCUGUGAAAUCUUGCGUUGUCAUCCUGGAAGAUGAAACGGCGGCCAUGACGUCGUGCGAACGGCACAACAUGGACUGCCAAGAUGUUGUCCCGGUAGUACUGGCCUGUAACACGCCCUGCAACAACAUGUAAAGCCGUUCUUCCAGCAACAGUGAUGCCUCCCCACACCACGUCUUGGAAGCGCUCGUUUCGACGACGCCACACCCUCCUACGUCUGUCCAAAAAAUCAACAGUGAACCUUGACUCAUCUGAAAACAUCACAUUGCUCCAGCGUCGAUUAUCCCAGUGUUGACGAUCCCUACACCAACGACGUCUUGCCUGAAUGUGAUGAUCUCUCAAACAAGGGAUCACGCGAGGACGUCGGGCGCGAAGGUGACCCCUAUGCAGUCGAUUCCGAAUCGUACGGCCACUCACUCUCACACCAGUGUCUGUUUGAAGACGAGCGCUGAUCUGAUUUGCUGUGAUGACACGAUUUCUCAAGGCCAAGGUACGGAUAAAUCGAUCCUGGGCUUGAGUUGUCGCCCUUGGUCGACCUGAGCGUGGUCUGUCUCCUGUACAGAUUGUGUAUCACGGUAUCUGGACCAUAGCCUGCUUAUGACAGACUGAGAAACAUUCAUCGUCCGCGCCACAACCGCCUGUGUUGUGCCGGACUGUAGCAUGCCAAGGGCACGUAGCCUUUCAUUUUGGGUAAGCCGACGCAUAUCAAAAUUUGUUUUCUGGUCACUAAAACAAUUAAACUGAUGUUUCCACCCUGGAAUUCAAUGCCACAAUGACUGUAACAUUCAAAGUCAGAGUCGUGCAAAUCUUGGGUUGGACCCCCAUGAUGAUCCCAAGCAUCACCUGCAUUCCAUGCGGUAGCUAUUGGUGCGUUUGGGCGUCACAUGUAACUGGAAAUGUUUCUUCUGUUAGGUUCUAUAGUGACUUUUUUCGUAGUCAUUUGCAUAUUUUAGUAUUAUGACCCCAAAAUCAAAUAUCCCCUACUUUUUUUGAAUAGUAUAUAUAUAUUAAUUUGCUAAUAAUUAAUUUACUAGUUUAGAAUUACUUAUAUAGUUUAAAAUGUCUAGUCCAGUCAAACAAAUAUUAAACCUACCUUGAAAUAAAUGAUUAAUUGUGCUGUAAUUAAGUACAGAUGUUGACAGGUGACCAGAAAAUAAAAGAGUGAAGUUAGUAACUAGGAUAAACAAAGCAGGUUUCCAAGAUGCUUAAAUCUACUCACUAUCUUACAAUAGCAUCUUUAAACUAUAAACUAAAGUAAUUAAAACCACUGGAAAUACAAGGCUAGCUGGAUACACAGGACAAUGGAAACUGACUAAAAUCUUUAAACAGAAUAUAUAUAACACCCUACUAAAAUAGUUAAAGAGAAUAUAACACCCUACUACAUGAGUAUUGUAAUACUAGUAUUUAAUUCAUUUUUAUACGCCCACAUUGAAAUGUGGACAUAUAUUGCCGUCGCCCCCGUCCGUCCGUCUGUCGAUCGUCCACAAUUUCUUGUGAACGCUCUAACGCCAAAAGUUAUCAUUCAAUUGUUUUAAAAUUGAUAUAUGUUGUUUACAUUAGUGAGAUGAAGAGACCUAUUUAAUUCCAAUAAUUUCUGUUUAUUAUGGCCCUUGUUUCACUUUGUUGAACCUUGUGAACGCUCUAAUGCCAAAAGUUAACAUACGAUCUUUGUGAAAUUUAAAUUAGUGAAACGAAGAAGCCUAUUGAAUUUCAGCAAUUUCCGUUUAUUACGUCUAGAGUUAUGGCCCUUGUUUCACUUUAUUGAAGCCUGUGAACACCAAAAGUUAUCAUCCGAUCUGUCUGAAGUUUAUAUGCAUUAUUUAGAUUACUGAAACGAAGAAGCCUAUUGAAUUUCGGCAAUUUCCGUUUAUUACGUCUAGAGUUAUGGCCCUUGUUUCACUUUAUUGAACCAAAAGUUAUCAUCCGAUCUUUCUGAAAUUUGUAUGCAUUAUUUAGAUUACUGAACCGAAAAAUCCUAUUGAAUUUCGGCAAUUUUCGUUUAUUAAUACGUCUAGAGUUAUGCCCCCCCCCCCCCCUAAUCAUCAUAAAAGUGCCAUCCAAAGUGUCAAGGUGAGUAAAAUUUUAUUGAGUGCUAGGCUGAUUUUCUGUUAUAGUGUCGUGAAUAUCCUUGUUCUGGCUUUAGUCCAUGUGACAGGCAGAUAUUCAUUACCAAUUUGAUGAAUUGGUUUAACUAUGAUUUUCAGUUAGCCUUAGGUCUAAAGUGUCCAAAAUAGGUUGAUGGACUUCCGGGUCACUUUGCCAAAUGUCAGUUUGGCGGCCAUCUUUAAAAAAAAUGGCCGCCGUUUUUUUUUCUUAUUUGAAAUAGUGCGAGUCGGGGAAGCCUUCAUAACUCCUCAACAGUUUCACCUAUAUGGAUAUGUAAUAUAUCUCAAAAUGUUCAUAAUAUAAUUCUGCAUCUGCUGGUAUAUGAUAUAUGUUGUUUAAUCAAUACUAUCAGUUUUAAAAUAAAAGAUUAAUCUGAAAAAAGCAA